GGGUGACGGCUCUUGCAGAGGGCACGGCGGAAGGACAGGGCGGAGGACCCACUGCCUUUAUGGAGUGUCACGACACCCCUGGGGGACGGGGAGGGAGAGCUUCGAGGCAGAUUCUUUACCACCUGAGCCCCCAGGGAAGCCCCCAUGAGACUGGUGCAGAGACACAAUCAGCUACUACAUGGGUCCUUUGAACAACCAACACACAGGUGAUUGGAGAAAUGGCAAGAAAUGGAAAGCUGUGACUUGGAGCGUAAGGCAGGUGCUUGGAGCAGAAACUGCAUUAAGAGCUGAGACGUCAGCCCAGUGACCACAAAAAUGUGGCCCUUCCUGGAGUGAAACUUUCUGAACAGAAAGAUGGUUCACUCACGCCGCUGGUCUCACCUCGAAUUUCUGCCUGAGCUCCACGUUGCCUUCCUCGUCGCCUUCGGGGAUCGGCACGUUGUAGUACUCGCCCU